rnacentral:misc_RNA from 1 species
AAGUCGUAACAAGGUUUCCGUAGGUGAACCUGCGGAAGGAUCAUUACCUUUCAUAAGGCAGGAUUAUUCUUAUAAUCCUCUGCCCUUAACCCUUUGUUUUUCUGCGUACUUAUCGUUUCUUUGGCGGGUCUUGCCCGCCAAUUGACACAUUAAAAACCUUUUUUGUAACUGUAAUCAGCGUCUGAAUAAAUUAUAAUAUUUACAACUUUCAACAACGGAUCUCUUGGUUCUG